CUUUCCGUUGCAGUUUUGUGCAAUAGACAAAUUUCACUACAACUGAAAAACCACCUCUUGCAAGAACAAAAAGUUUUCAUUGAAAAACAAGAGUUUUGGCAAAAUUGUAAUUUUUCCCUUUGGCAAAUUUUUAUACAUAAGCAAUUUUUAUACAUGUAAUUUUA